rnacentral:hammerhead_ribozyme from 1 species
AUCUAGCUGACGAGUCCCAAAUAGGACGAGACGCGUGUUUCUGGAU